AGCUUGCUGCUUUGCUGACGAGUGGCGGACGGGUGAGUAAUGUCUGGGAAACUGCCUGAUGGAGGGGGAUAACUACUGGAAACGGUGGCUAAUACCGCAUAACGUCGCAAGACCAAAGAGGGGGACCUUCGGGCCUCUUGCCAUCAGAUGUGCCCAGAUGGGAUUAGCUUGUUGGUGAGGUAACGGCUCACCAAGGCGACGAUCCCUAGCUGGUCUGAGAGGAUGACCAGCCACACUGGAACUGAGACACGGUCCAGACUCCUACGGGAGGCAGCAGUGGGGAAUAUUGCACAAUGGGCGCAAGCCUGAUGCAGCCAUGCCGCGUGUAUGAAGAAGGCCUUCGGGUUGUAAAGUACUUUCAGCGGGGAGGAAGGUGUUGUGGUUAAUAACCGCAGCAAUUGACGUUACCCGCAGAAGAAGCACCGGCUAACUCCGUGCCAGCAGCCGCGGUAAUACGGAGGGUGCAAGCGUUAAUCGGAAUUACUGGGCGUAAAGCGCACGCAGGCGGUCUGUCAAGUCGGAUGUGAAAUCCCCGGGCUCAACCUGGGAACUGCAUUCGAAACUGGCAGGCUUGAGUCUUGUAGAGGGGGGUAGAAUUCCAGGUGUAGCGGUGAAAUGCGUAGAGAUCUGGAGGAAUACCGGUGGCGAAGGCGGCCCCCUGGACAAAGACUGACGCUCAGGUGCGAAAGCGUGGGGAGCAAACAGGAUUAGAUACCCUGGUAGUCCACGCCGUAAACGAUGUCUACUUGGAGGUUGUGCCCUUGAGGCGUGGCUUCCGGAGCUAACGCGUUAAGUAGACCGCCUGGGGAGUACGGCCGCAAGGUUAAAACUCAAAUGAAUUGACGGGGGCCCGCACAAGCGGUGGAGCAUGUGGUUUAAUUCGAUGCAACGCGAAGAACCUUACCUGGUCUUGACAUCCACAGAACUUUCCAGAGAUGGAUUGGUGCCUUCGGGAACUGUGAGACAGGUGCUGCAUGGCUGUCGUCAGCUCGUGUUGUGAAAUGUUGGGUUAAGUCCCGCAACGAGCGCAACCCUUAUCCUUUGUUGCCAGCGGUCCGGCCGGGAACUCAAAGGAGACUGCCAGUGAUAAACUGGAGGAAGGUGGGGAUGACGUCAAGUCAUCAUGGCCCUUACGACCAGGGCUACACACGUGCUACAAUGGCGCAUACAAAGAGAAGCGACCUCGCGAGAGCAAGCGGACCUCAUAAAGUGCGUCGUAGUCCGGAUUGGAGUCUGCAACUCGACUCCAUGAAGUCGGAAUCGCUAGUAAUCGUGGAUCAGAAUGCCACGGUGAAUACGUUCCCGGGCCUUGUACACACCGCCCGUCACACCAUGGGAGUGGGUUGCAAAAGAAGUAGGUAGCUUAACCUUCGGGGGGGCGCUUACCACUUUGUGAUUCAUGACUGGGGUGAAGUCGUAACAAGGUAACCGUAGGGGAACCUGCGGUUGGAUCACCUCCUUACCUUAAAGAAGC
rnacentral:rRNA from 1 species